rnacentral:rRNA from 1 species
UGAGUACGAGAUGCUACGGCAUUGAAGCAGUCUAUGUCAUACUUCCAAGAAAAGCUUGCACUGUCAUAAACAAAGAAUGCCUGUGCCAUAACCGACACAGGUGGGUAGGUAGAGUAUACUAAGGGGCGCGAGAUAACUCUCUCUAAGGAACUCGGCAAAAUGACUCCGUAACUUCGGGAGAAGGAGUGCCUUAUUUUUAAGGUUGCAAUAACAAGAUCCAAGCAACUGUUUAUCAAAAACACAGGUCUCCGCUAAGUCGUAAGACGAUGUAUGGGGGCUGACGCCUGCCCAGUGCCAGAAGGUUAAAGAAGUUGGUUAGCAUUCGCGAAGCUGAUAACUGAAGCCCUGGUGAACGGCGGCCGUAACCAUAACGGUCCUAAGGUAGCGAAAUUCCUCGUCGGGUAAGUUCCGACCCGCACGAAAGGCGUAAUGAUUUGGAUACUGUCUCGGAGAGGGACUCGGUGAAAUAGACUUGUCUGUGAAGAUGCGGACUACCUGCACCUGGACAGAAAGACCCUAUGAAGCUUUACUGUAACUUGAAAUUGAAAUUGGACUUUAGUUGCGCAGGAUAGGUGGGAGGCGUUGAGAAUAUUCUUGCGGGAGUAUUGGAGCCAUCAGUGAGAUACCACUCUUCUAAUGUUAGAUUUCUAACUUUGUAUCAUUAUCUGGUCAAAGAACAGUUUCAGGCGGGCAGUUUGACUGGGGCGGUCGCCUCCUAAAGGGUAACGGAGGCGCACAAAGGUUUCCUCUGAACGAGUAGAAAUCGUAUCUAGAGUGUAAAGGCAUAAGGAAGCUUGACUGUGAGACCUACAAGUCGAGCAGGGACGAAAGUCGGUCUUAGUGAUCUGACGGUGCUGAGUGGAAAGGCCGUCACUCAACGGAUAAAAGUUACUCUAAGGAUAACAGGCUGAUCUCCCCCAAGAGUCCACAUCGACGGGGAGGUUUGGCACCUCGAUGUCGGCUCAUCGCAUCCUGGGGCGGUAGUACGUCCCAAGGGUUGGGCUGUUCGCCCAUGAAAGCGGUACGCGAGCUGGGUUCAGAACGUCGUGAGACAGUUCGGUCCAUAUCCGGUGUAGGCGUUAGAAUAUUGAGAGGAGCCUUCUCUAGUACGAGAGGACCGAGAAGGACAUACCUCUAGUGUACCAGUUAUCGUGCCAACGGUAAACGCUGGGUAGCUAUGUAUGGAGUGGAUAACCGCUGAAAGCAUCUAAGUGGGAAGCCCACCUCAAGAUAAGUAUUCUC